rnacentral:rRNA from 1 species
GAGUAACGCGUAUACAAUUUACCUUUUACAGGAGGAUAGCCCAGAGAAAUUUGGAUUAAUACUCCAUGGCAUUACGAGAUCGCAUGGUUUUGUAAUUAAAGCUUCGGUGGUAGAAGAUGAGUAUGCGUCCUAUUAGCUAGAUGGUGAGGUAACGGCUCACCAUGGCAACGAUAGGUAGGGGUCCUGAGAGGGAGAUCCCCCACACUGGUACUGAGACACGGACCAG